GGAUUAGGCAGUCGAUCCAAGGACUCAUAAUCCUUUGGUCGUUGGUUCAAGUCCAACACGGCCUACCA
rnacentral:tRNA from 1 species